rnacentral:lncRNA from 1 species
AUUUUUUGUUGUUGUUGAUUUUCUGUCUGAAUGAGGUUUCCAGUGCUGAAAUGAGUUGUUGAAGUAUCCAGCUAUUAUAGUAUUGAGCAGAGGAGUCCGUCCCUGUGUCCACCACCAUCACAAGCCCAAGGCAAGUACUGCUAGAGGGCUGCCUAUGAUCAGAUCUUCUGAGAACAUCAGAGAAAGACUGUCCUUGCAAUCUACACUACAGCAAAACUUCAGGACCUUGAACUUCAGGUUCAUAAUCUCACAACUGAGAAGGAUCCUUCCACACUCUUGGAACAGUGCACCCAUUGGAACUCUGAAGGUUAAGCUCACCAGGAAAGUUUCUCUCCAGAAGAAGAUAACACCCUUAAUGUGAACAGCUUUUCCCAAAAUCACGGAUUGAAACUUCUCUACAAUCACGAGAGUCUUAUCUUUGAAUAUUUUCCCUUGGUUAUGCUUCUGUGAACAAUAGACGUGAAAAGGGAGUCUGUUGUGUGCACUUAUGGGGCACACUUUUAUGUGUGAAGGAUUUUUCAGCCAGCCUUAUAUAUGGAUGACCUUAUAGUUUAAGAGAUAAAAGACAAAGACCCAAUGCAUGUAUUUUUUAUUCUGUGUUCAAAGAUCACCAGUGAGAUUCCCAGUUGCCAAAUCCAAUCUUUAGUUUUCAUCUUAGUUCCUCUGAGCAACAUCUGAAAAAGGUAGUCAUUUCCUUUUUUUUGUUUGUUUGAAACAUGUGAAACAAUUAAGAAUAAAAGAAUAGCAAGUAAGCCAGAAUAAUAGUAAGUUUAUUUUAGAAUAUUUUGAGUUUAGUUUAAAAUAUGUGUGUGUAAAUCUUU